AGUGAACGCUGGCGGUAGGCCUAACACAUGCAAGUCGAACGGCAGCACAGUAAGAGCUUGCUCUUACGGGUGGCGAGUGGCGGACGGGUGAGGAAUACAUCGGAAUCUACUUUUUCGUGGGGGAUAACGUAGGGAAACUUACGCUAAUACCGCAUACGGCCUACGGGUGAAAGCAGGGGAUCUUCGGACCUUGCGCGAUUGAAUGAGCCGAUGUCGGAUUAGCCAGUUGGCGGGGUAAAGGCCCACCAAGGCGACGAUCCGUAGCUGGUCUGAGAGGAUGAUCAGCCACACUGGAACUGAGACACGGUCCAGACUCCUACGGGAGGCAGCAGUGGGGAAUAUUGGACAAUGGGCGCAAGCCUGAUCCAGCCAUACCGCGUGGGUGAAGAAGGCCUUCGGGUUGUAAAGCCCUUUUGUUGGGAAAGAAAAGCAGCAGGUUAAUACCCCGCUGUUCUGACGGUACCCAAAGAAUAAGCGCCGGCUAACUUCGUG
rnacentral:rRNA from 1 species